AAGAGUUCUCUCUUACUAAAUAAGGUAAAGAAAAGAAAGAGGAGGCCUAAAUGCUAAGCAGAAAGAGGAUGUAUAUACCAUUUAUGAGAUUUCUCUUUAAAUCUCCGAUUCUAAGAAAACAGAGACAAUUGAUGGCCAAGAAACUACCUGUGGAUGGAAAAUGGAGAAGGUGAAGCAAUAUUGUUCCAUUAACUCCAAGAAAGGUCAAGAGGUUGUCACCUUGGUGACCAUCCCCUAGGCAAGGUGUUGGGGUGCUAGGAAGAAGGUGGAGGCUGACCAAUUCCCUCAUCUGACAGGUUGUGUGAACAUAAGGAUUGGC